rnacentral:lncRNA from 12 species
UGUGGGGGCUGCCCUCCCACACCAGCCUCUCCCCAGGGCCGGCAGCCUCUUCACUCUCACCGUGGAGCGAGAGCUGGAGGGCGGCAGGCGCCAGCGCUCAGCCCUCAGGAUCCUGGUGUCCCCAGGGGCCCCCGGGCCCUGCCCCAGGCUGGAGUCCAGGGAACCUGGUGCUGUCUGCCUGCCCUGGGUCGUGGAGCGGCUGCUGGAGGGGAACAGCCUGACCUUCCUGCUGCUGUGUGUGUCACUGCCAGGUAGACCCUGGGACUGGGACACACUCUGGAUGCCCCUUCCCUGAGAAUUGCCCCCACCCUGCCCCACACCUGGCACUUUGUCCCUGGCUGCUGCAGCCACUGGAAGCUGGACACCAGCUCCACUCAUCUCCAUUGCACCGGGACCCCCUGUGCUGGUCCCCAUGGCCCCUGCCCAGGGCUCGCUGUUCUCCCAGACACCUCCAGAGAGGAGAUUCUGGCAGCUCUGGGACUGGCUGAGCGGGUGAAGGGGCUGGCCAAGACCAUCUCUGCCACACUCUGGGAUCCUGAGGAGGAGAUCUCAGCGCGCCGGAGGGAGAUCCGAGGGCUGCGGGUGGAGCUGCUGGCUGGAUCCCGCCGCCCUGAGCAGAGGACAGCUGUGGCCCAGCUGCAGAGAGCGCUGAGGGAGCUGCAGGUGCUGAAGAGUCAAAGGUGGGAGAAGAAGCAGGCAGUGGCCAAGAUGCUUGGGACAAGUGAGAUGCACCAGCCCAGUGCUGAGGACCAGGUCUCUGCAGGGAAUACAGCACCAGGCCAGCAGCUGGUGACCCAGACACCCCCAACCAGUGCCAGCCUGGGGCCAGCAGAGCCAGAGCGUGGGGCCAGGCACGCAUCCCACAACUGGGUGGAGGAUAUGUGGGCACAGAGCAUGGCUUUACACGCAGGAUGGGGUGACAGCAGAAGCCAGGGAGGGGACAACCAAGUUCUGGCCAGCGCAGGGCAGGGGCUGCUGGAGGAGCCAUCCCAGAGCAAAGUGACACAGCCACAGCCACGGCCCGGGUGUGACAGUGCAGGGAGGCACCGGCCGUGCCCAUCCCCAGAGGUGCAGCGCGCCCUGGCCAGGGCACAGCGGCAGCGCCUGCGGGCCCAGCACUGCCGGCAGCUCCAGCGGCAGCUCGGGGCCAGCGCCAGGCCAGCCCCGGAGCACAGCGGGGAGGUGGGCACGGCACUGCGAGCUCUUCCCCUCCCCGGCACUGCUCUCCCUGGUGCAGCCCGAGGGAGAGGGACACCCUGGAGCUGCCCUGACCUUGUCCCUAUCCCCCACAGCGGGACACAGAGCGCUGGCAGCGGGAGGUGA